rnacentral:rRNA from 1 species
GAUCCUGGCUCAGGAUGAACGCUGACAGAAUGCUUAACACAUGCAAGUCAACUUGAAUUUGGGUUUUUAACUUAGAUUUGGGUGGCGGACGGGUGAGUAACGCGUAAAGAACUUGCCUCACAGCUAGGGACAACAUUUAGAAAUGAAUGCUAAUACCUGAUAUUAUGAUUUUAAGGCAUCUUAGAAUUAUGAAAGCUAUAAGCACUGUGAGAGAGCUUUGCGUCCCAUUAG